CACGGGAGCAAUCCUGGUGGCGAGUGGCGAACGGGUGAGUAAUACAUCGGAACGUGUCCUGGAGUGGGGGAUAGCCCGGCGAAAGCCGGAUUAAUACCGCAUACGCUCUGAGGAGGAAAGCGGGGGAUCUUUCGGGACCUCGCGCUCAAGGGGCGGCCGAUGGCAGAUUAGCUAGUUGGUGGGGUAAAGGCCUACCAAGGCGACGAUCUGUAGCUGGUCUGAGAGGACGACCAGCCACACUGGGACUGAGACACGGCCCAGACUCCUACGGGAGGCAGCAGUGGGGAAUUUUGGACAAUGGGCGCAAGCCUGAUCCAGCAAUGCCGCGUGUGUGAAGAAGGCCUUCGGG
rnacentral:rRNA from 1 species